GGCUCGUUGGUCUAGGGGUAUGAUUCUCGCUUUGGGUGUGAGAGGUCCCAGGUUUAAAUCCAGGAUGAGCACA
rnacentral:tRNA from 1 species